CGUUCUGUCGCGCUCCUCCACCACACCAUGGAACGUCUCGAGCGCUGCCCAACCUACAGGUAUGCACCUCGCGCUCAACUCUGAAGACGUUUGUCAACGCAGCUAUUUGGUGCCUUUGUCUCUUUUUUUCCAGGCGAAGGGAGAUAUUUUCAAACAAAAUAUCGGCCAAGAGUAGUGGCUGAACAUCGUUGAAGUUCACAUUGAAGAGGAACCGAUCUAAAGCUUGACCAUGGCCACAAUUGGGGACUUCGACCCGCUCAACUCCACCGUACCUGCGACGAAAAUUGAACUUACUGUCUCGUGCAGGAACCUGCUGGACAUGGACACCUUCUCCAAAUCAGACCCUGUUGUGGUUUUGUACGUUCAAGGCAUCGGGACAAAGGAGUGGAGAGAGGUGAGUGAAAUUACUUUUUUAUUACAGAUUUGACGUAUA